UCAUCCAGGGCAGACCAGCACUGGUAAAGUGCUGCAGCUUGGCCCCCUGGGAAGUGCUGGAUCUCACCUGCCCAGAGGACGGCUUCAGCAGGGAGCCUGCGGUCGCUGAUGUUCCUCCUUCUUUGUCUCUCAGCACUUCAGGGAACAAUCCCACUUCAUCUGACCCUGAGGUUUCUGCUGAAAACCCUCUGACGCUCUGAGGAGGUUCCCCUGUGUGAGAAACGGAUUUUCUCUCGUGUUUCCGGAAUCGCCUCUGCCUGGUUGCAGCAGCUACAGGUGUUCUGGGCCACUCACCUAGGAGCCCAAGGGUGCGGUGCCCCUAUCUGCUCUGACCUGGCACUCCCUCCUCAGGAACAGCCAGGGGAUCUUGGAAGGCCACAGCAAGACCUCGUUGUCCCUGGCUCCUCUCCCAGUUAGCAUAACCCAAUCUGCUUACCCUGAAUCACAGCCCCCGUCUCCCCAUCUCACCCACAGCCUCAUAUCUUCUUGAAAAUUAUUUGUUUAGCAAGAAUAUGUAGAGAGCCUGCUGGGCACCGGAGCCCAGGUGGGUCCCCUGAGCGUGCAGAGCACAGUCUCUGCUCCACAUUUAUGGUCUCUGGAUUCUUAUCCCCUGACUUCCACACAGCUGGGUCUUCUCCCGGCUGACCUUGGACUACAUGCCUUGUCCUCGGAGAGAGCUUUCUUGACCAGUGACUUAACAUGAACACCAAGGUUUAUGUGGUGCCGGUCACUGCCCAUCCCAGCCUCCUGCCUCAGUCUGGAUCGUGUUCUAGAGUGUCCUGAUCCACAUACACUGCUUGAGGCCACAGUGGACAUCAGAUUACACCAGAGCAGCCAGUACUUAUUCCUCUGGAGAGAGAUUUCUACUCAGGAGGUGUGGAGAGAGGGGGCAGGCCCUGGGCAGGGGUGAGCAAACAGCCUGUGGACACAUGGGAGUGGCCUGCCUAGCCGCCUCCUUACACACUCACCAUCCCGGCUCACCAUUCACUAGCUCCUGAGAAUGAGAACUGGCUCAGGUGUGCCUUGAAGAUAUCCAAGAGUCAUUGUCACCAUUGGAUUGAGGACUGUCACAGUAGGACAGGAUCAAAGAGCAUAUUAGAAGAGGGAGUUUUCAAAUCGCUUCCAGAUGAUCUAUUUUGGAAAUCCGCCAUGGACCUAUGCACCAUCCUGGUUCUCCACAAAUACAGUGGGCUGGUGGCUGGAGUACUGUCCCCGAGCUCCCUCUGCUAUCCUUAAGAGUCUGGAGCCGAGGGUACCCCCAGGACACAUGGGGAGGACUCUCCCCCCUUCUCUGCUCCCAGUGCGGCUGCUCCUCAGCUCUGUUGGAGGAAGUCAGAGCCUCCUUCUCCAUGUUUUUUCCAACUGGACCACAGCUGCUCACAGGCGGAGGCCGCAUGGUCUGGAUGUCUGCUUCCCAAGGUCACGGGAUGAUGGCAGCAGGAAGCUGAGGCCAGCCAGGGGGGUGUAAGCGUCUCUGCUACUGACCUGUCCAGGGCACCAUUCCUGUUUGCCGCCUGACUUGGGGCUGUACUAGAAACCUGUAUAAGUGGAACUUCACUGAGAGCUAGGGAAGAGAGGAAGAGCCACUGCCCACACCACGGCGAAUCCCACAGGAACCCUUUGGAGUGCUUCUGUGUGCCUCAAAAGGAAGACAGAGAGCUGAGCCGUGGAUCAGGGUGGGGCUGCACGACUGAGGGACCUGCUCCCUCUCGCGCCAUCUGCCUGAAUACUGAAGCCUCACGUGGGGGUGGACUCUGCUCAGCUCGCUUCAGUCCAGCCAACAACUGGGCAUGGUGAGUGUCCUGUGUGAUCAGUACCCCAGAGCUUAGGGCCUGAAACAGAAGCCUUGAGACGUCGCUUCUCGACCUCGGUGAGGUGGGGUGGGGUGGGGGGCUGCGCACAGGUAAACCCACAGCAACGUCAGCGUCACCCCUGAGCUCG